GAUGAACGCUAGCGGCAGGCCUAAUACAUGCAAGUCGAACGGUGUCUUCGGACAUAGUGGCGCACGGGUGCGUAACACGUAUGCAACCUACCUUACAUUGGGGGAUAGCCUUUCGAAAGGGAGAUUAAUACCGCAUAAGACAGUAGCUGGGCAUUCAGCAGCUGUUAAAGAUUUAUCGAUGUAAGCUGGGCAUGCGUCCAAUUAGCUAGUUGGUGAGGUAACGGCUCACCAAGGCAAUGAUUGGUAGGGGAACUGAGAGGUCAAUCCCCCACACUGGCACUGAGCUACGGCCCAGACGCCUACGGGAGGCAGCAGUAGGGAAUAUUGGGCAAUGGACGCAAGUCUGACCCAGCCAUGCCGCGUGCAGGAUGAAGGCGUUAUGCGUUGUAAACUGCCUUUAUACAGGAAGAAACGACUCUUGCGAGAGGCAUUGACGGCACUGUAUGAAUAAGCACCGGCUAACUCCGUGCCAGCAGCCGCGGUAAUAC
rnacentral:rRNA from 1 species